GAUGAACGCUAGCGGCAGGCUUAAUACAUGCAAGUCGUGGGGCAGCAUGAGUAGCAAUACUUGAUGGCGACCGGCAAACGGGUGAGGAACACGUACACAACCUUCCUUCAAGCGGGGAAUAGCCCAGAGAAAUUUGGAUUAAUACCCCAUAAUAUAUUCGAUAAGGCAUCUUAUUAAUAUUAAAGCUUCGGCACUUGAUGAUGGGUGUGCGGCUGAUUAGAUAGUUGGCGGGUAACGGCCACCAACGUACGUACCGUAAGACUACGUAAGGUACGUCGUAGUAGUUGG
rnacentral:rRNA from 1 species